CCUACGGGUGGCAGCAGUGAGGAAUAUUGGUCAAUGGUCGGAAGGCUGAACCAGCCAUGCCGCGUGAAGGUCAGUGCCCUAUGGGCGUUACACUUCUUUUGUGCGGGAGCAAUAAUGGUCACGUGUGGCCAGACGAGAGUACCGUACGAAUAAGCAUCGGCUAACUCCGUGCCAGCAGCCGCGGUAAUACGGGGGAUGCAAGCGUGAUCCGGAUUUAUUUGGUUUGAAGGGUGCGUAGGCUGUGAGGUAAGUCAGCGGUGAAAUGCCUCCGCUCAGAGUGGUGAAGUGCCAUUGAUAAUGCCUUGCUGGAAUGCGGAUGCCGUGGGAGGGAUGUGUGGUGUAGCGGUGAAAUGCAUAGAUAUCACACAGAACACCGAUUGCGAAGGCAUCUCACGAAUCCGCGAUUGACGCUGAUGCACGAAAGCGUGGGUAUCAAACAGGAUUAGAUACCCUGGUAGUC
rnacentral:rRNA from 1 species